ensembl:lncRNA
GUCAGUCAGUCUCUGAAGCCAGUCAGAGAGAGAAAAUGAUUCCCUCUGGUCCUGGGAAUAAGAGAUCCAUGGGGAGAGGUGCAAGCUUUCCUUUGGACCACUGACCAUCUUGCUCUACACCAUGCUGGUUUGGGGAUCUGUUAAACGACGUGCUGGAGGACUGGUGUGAAGAAUCUGAAAAAUGGACUAUCCAGUUAUUUGAGUCUGCAUGGGAAGGACACCGUCGGCUCCGGAUUUGAUUACUUUUGUUUUUAAAUGGCUCCAGAAUCAGAAAGGAUUGUGACAGUGGCAUGCAAGGAGGACUCCAGUUCAACUGAGCGCAGCAUUUCCACGUGAUGUUCACCACUGGCCACACUUCAUCAGGAGAAACUCCCACAUUAGAGAUGUGUCCUUUGUGUGGAAGCUGAACAAAUAAGAGGGCUCUGUGUCCAACAGUGCGCUGCUUUGCAGGUCAGAAGGCCUGAGCUUUGUCUGAAACUUCCUUGGAGAUGCAGAAACAGUAAGAGCCAUUUGCCCAUAAAGUUCUGUAAUAUGACUCCCAUCUUCUCUCUGUGCUCCCUUCUCAUCUGUUUAUGUGAGCAUGUACAUAACUGUACAGAUAUACCUACUCCGAUGAAAGUCUGCAUCAGCUUUGGUCCUAUUGAGUUUUCUGAAGUGAUUUUUUCAAUGUGAUGUAUUUUAGCAUUAAAGUGAAUGAAUGAAUGAAGCAGUAUACUUCAGCAGCGUUGGUAAGAGGAAAGGGAGUGAAAGGGGUGUUUGAGCAAGGUAAAGUGCACAUGAAACUGGAUAAAGUCACCUGCUGCUCCCCAUCAUGCAACCUAAGAAAUGUAUAGGAAUUUACAAUGUACAAAUGUUCUGCUUUGUAACUACUGAAUUUCAUGGUUGCAUAUUUGCCACUUGUGAAUUUGUAACUGGAUAUUAGCAAUUUUCAAAUAGCUUGGGAUGUUACACAUACAGUACUUAUAAAAUAUAUGGUAAAUAUAUGAGACAACCCAUUUAUUCACUGUAGAGGGCACAAAAGGAAACAGAAAUACUGAGAACUCUUACGCAGUAAGCCAUCAGACUGGCACGAUCUCAUCAAAUAUGCAAGAGUGAGCUGAUGCGAUCCCUGAAACAUUUCUAUACAUGUAUGAUAGAAACAGUUAUGUUGUCUAGAUAAGAGACCAAAGCAAAAUAGUAUAAACAAGAUGGUGUAAACGUAAAUAAGACAUUAGAAGUUGCUGGUAGGACAAAGUUAGAAUCUUACUUGAUCCUUAUGUGUUACUAGAUGCUGAAUGGGAUGAGAUCUAGUCUGUGAGUUGUACCGUGCUUAGACAACAAUAUGUCAGAGUUAAAACUGCAGAAUGCAGUAACCUCUGGUUUUAUUAAUCUCUUCUGAAACACAUCAAGUGUCACUUUUAUUUAUUACCAUAUAAACAGGAAACAUUCUUCUAAAAAUAUGAAACGUUAUCCUCGUUCAAAGUAAUAGGUAACCAGAAUGUAGGGCAUCACUGUUUCUGCGUUGUACAGUGACUUGCAGUGGUUGCGGUACACUUUCUUUGCUGUUACUGUGAAAAUGUUGGAAAGUGUCUUUCUCUUUCGUGCUUCCACAGUCAUUAAUACAUUAAAGUUCAUGUCUUUGGCUGGGCAUCUUUGAUCAUAUUGUCCUAUCCUAACCUAACCUAGCCUAGCCUAGCCUAGCCUAGCCUAAUCUUCCUGUUUUAAUAUUUGUAUCUUAUAUCCUUGAUCAUAUCAUAUAAUUGGGCAGAUAUAAAGAAGGUAAAACCAAGAAAUAACAUUGAAUAUAUAUGAAAUAUAUAUGAAAGAAAUAUUUUUGCUGAAACAUAUAUAUAUAUAUAUUUUUUUUGCUAAGAAGUGUUUUGAGGUUGAAAAAAAUAAUCAGAAGGACAAGUAAUUUCAAAAUAUUAAUAGAAAAAUCUCAUUAAAAUUAAAAGUAAUUCCUACUGAGUAAUAUAUUUGUGAUGUAUGUCAAAUGGCCAUAAUUAUCUACCUGAGAUGUUUGUGAAUAAAUACCAAACCAAUGGUUGACAGAGAAAGGUGUUUAUUUUCCCUUUCCUUUAAUAUGUUCAGACUCCCAUACUUUUGGAUUAGGAAGUUUGUCCCUUUUCAUUAAGGCCCUUUGUUUGAAACCUGCUCCUAAAUUCAUCUGUAUGCAUCAUCUUCAGUAAUAUUGAGAGUUGUACCUUCCACGAGUCUUUGGCACUGUAUGAUGAAGCGCUCUAUUUAUAUUAAAAUGAAGAAGUUCCUAAGGGAGACAUAGAACAGAAUGAAACAACAAACAGAGCUUUAGAGACUGAAUGCGUGAAGUGACAGUGACAGUGAAGUGGUAGCUCUUUUUACAGAGUGGCCCUAAG